rnacentral:rRNA from 1 species
CAUUCCGAACACGGAAGUUAAGCCCGCCAGCGCCGAUGGUACUUGGGUGGAGACGCCCUGGGAGAGUAGGACGCCGCCGGAU